CUCUCUCUCUCUCUCUCUCUCUCUCUCUUACUCGUUUACUCGGGCUCAGUUCGCAUGUGACGUUCGGACGAGUCGGUCACGCGCCGCUGUGUCUCUGCAAGAAAGUGACAGAAAAAACUAGACAAUAAAAGACCAAAGAGAAGUAAGUAAACAUCUUCUAGUAUGAACAGACGAAAGAAGGAGAGGAAAGUGAAAAGAACAGAAAACGGGAAAAAGAAAAUAAAGUGUGGGAAAUGGAGAUAAAAUGAGACUAAGAGAAGACUAAGGAAAAGAGUGAAAUUACUAUGAAGGAAACUAUGAUGAAAAUAAAACUAUGAAAGCAAUGCCCUGAAACUGAAAAUAAAGAAAAGAAAACGAAUAACUCACUAAAGAAAAGGAGAUAGAAGAUAAACAUGUGGUAAAAAAGAAGAAGAAAAGAGAAGAAAAGUUAAUAAUAUGAAGAAAAAAACAUCCAUUAAUUGAACAAAGAAGGGACUAUAUAGCAGAGUCAGGAACAACUGAAAAAAAAAACUAAAAAAUUGAGGAAAAACGAAAAAGGAGUAGGAGAAAAAAAGGAAAAUAUAGAGACCACUUUCGUGUUCUAAUGACCUUCAUCCUACCUUCACGGGAACACCUGAAGCGACAUCAAUCACGCCGAAACACAGGUGUGUAAGAACGUGACCUCAGUAAUCAGGCGUCAUCAGCUCACCUGCCCAAUCAGCUUACCUGCCAAGAAAGAAGAGAAAAUAAGACAAAUAUGAAAACUGAAAAGAAAAAGAUAUGAAAAACAAUUACUAUACUUCGUGGAGAUGAAUAAUUCUGAGUCUGUUUAUUAUUUGUUGAAGCAGAAAAUAAGGAAAAAAAAGUGAAAAAAAAAGUGAGAUAAAAAAGUAGACAACGAAGAAGAGGAAACAGACAAACAGACAAACAUAUAUGAGUCUAUUAUUUAUUCACAGAAAAAAAAACACUAAAGAAUAUCAGUGAAAAAGUGAGAUAUAGAAAAAUGAGCUGGAAAAAGAAGAACAGGGAAGAGACAAACAGAGAAACAGCAAAAUCUACCACUUGUCCACAGCAGAAAAGAAAGGAAAUAAGAAAAGUAAACCAGUGAAAAAAUUCGAUGAGAAAAGAACUAAAGAAAGAACAGGGAAGAGACAAACAGAGAAACAGCAAAAUCUAUCACUUGUCAACAGCAGAAAAGAAAGAAAACAAGAAAAAUAAACGGGGAAAAAGUGAAAUACAAAGCAGACAGAGAAGAAAGUGAAGUAAAAAUAGACAAGAAGAAAGUGAAACAAAAAAUAGGCAAAGAGGAACAGGAAACAAACACACAGACGAACAGAAAGCCCACAGGGGAAAGACACAACACCACAACGAAGUAAUACAAAAAAGAGAAGAAUUACAUAGAAGUGAAUAAACAAACAGUGAAUAAGGUGGAAAUAAGAGACCUAGCCCACAGAGGGAAGGACAUGGACGAACAGGGACACAGAAACCGAAAGAAAAAUAAAUAUACAGAUCAAAGAAACGAGAGUAAAUAAAGAAAAACAACUGUGGUAAAAGUGGAGGGGAAGGAACGACCCAAAGGAGCAGAUGGAAGAAAGAAAGAGGAAGAGAAAGAGGGAAGAAUAGAUUGAAACGCAGAGAGAAUAUAUAAAAAAGAGGAACAACGAAGAGGAGACGGAAGUUGAGUUGACAAAUAAAUGGAGAAAAUAGCGAAGUUGUUGUUCUGAGUAGCUUUAAGAAGAUGAAAAAGGGAGAGGGAAAGGGAAUAUGGGUUAGAAAAUAGAAAUAAAAACUAAUCUGUAAUAAAAAAAAAGCAGAAUUAAGUAGAUAAAGUGAAGGUUGAAAAUGCGUUGUAGAUUCAGAAUAGCAGCUUUAGGAAGAGGAUAAAAGGGAGAGGGAAAGAUGAUACGGAAGUUAGAAAAAACUGUAAAAAAGAAAAAGAAGCAGAAUUAAAUAGAUAAAUAAAUGGAAAAAGAAGUGAAGGCUGAAAAUACGUUCUUGAAGUUUCAGAAUAGAAGCUUUAGGAAGAGGAUAAAAGGGAGAGGGAAAGAGAAUACGGAAGUUAGAAAAUCAAAAGAAAUCUGCAAACAGGAAGCAGAAUGAUAAAAAAAAAGAUAAAUAAGUGCAAAA